UCGAGCCGUACGAGGAGAAAACUUCCUAUACGGUUCUAGGGGGGGUAUUGUUGAUCUACAUCUAUCCCAAU
rnacentral:ncRNA from 1 species